rnacentral:rRNA from 1 species
AUUGAACGCUGGCGGCAUGCCUUACACAUGCAAGUCGAACGGUAACGCGGGGCAACCUGGCGACGAGUGGCGAACGGGUGAGUAAUGCAUCGGAACGUGCCCAGUAGUGGGGGAUAGCCCGGCGAAAGCCGGAUUAAUACCGCAUACGACCUACGGGUGAAAGCGGGGGACCGUAAGGCCUCGCGCUAUUGGAGCGGCCGGUGUCAGAUUAGGUUGUUGGUGGGGUAAAGGCCUACCAAGCCGACGAUCUGUAGCUGGUCUGAGAGGACGACCAGCCACACUGGGACUGAGACACGGCCCAGACUCCUACGGGAGGCAGCAGUGGGGAAUUUUGGACAAUGGGGGCAACCCUGAUCCAGCCAUGCCGCGUGCGGGAAGAAGGCCUUCGGGUUGUAAACCGCUUUUGUCAGGGAAGAAACGCUCUGGGCUAAUACCCUGGGGUAUUGACGGUACCUGAAGAAUAAGCACCGGCUAACUACGUGCCAGCCGCCGCAGUAA